GACGAACGCUGGCGGCGUGCUUAACACAUGCAAGUCGAACGAUGAAGCCCGAGCUUGCUCUGGUGAAUUAGUGGCGAACGGGUGAGUAACACGUGAGUAACCUGCCCUUGACUCUGGGAUAACUGCGGGAAACUGUAGCUAAUACCGGAUACGACCCUCGGAGGCAUCUCCUGGGGGUGGAAAGAAUUUCGGUCAAGGAUGGACUCGCGGCCUAUCAGCUAGUUGGUGAGGGAAAGGCUCACCAAGGCGACGACGGGUAGCCGGCCUGAGAGGGUGACCGGCCACACUGGGACUGAGACACGGCCCAGACUCCUACGGGAGGCAGCAGUGGGGAAUAUUGCGCAAUGGGCGAAAGCCUGACGCAGCAACGCCGCGUGCGGGAUGAAGGCCUUCGGGUUGUAAACCGCUUUCAGCAGGGAAGAAGCCGCAAGGUGACGGUACCUGCAGAAGAAGCACCGGCUAACUACGUGCCAGCAGCCGCGGUAA
rnacentral:rRNA from 1 species